GUAUCAUAUGUUCAAGUAUAUAUAUAUUUAUGUAUAUAUAUUUGAUUUAGAAUUCGCAAGAAAAAUUAAACGAAUUCUUGAUAGUUGAUUUCUAAGUCGCAUAGAAUAUACAAAUUGGACUAAGGCAGUUGUUAACCGGCAACAGUUGACUACACGUGCAAUGACUUUUAUCAUAGUUUAGGUCCUACCGCCGAUAGUAACAAGAUAAUUUUGUCUUUGCAAUUGCGCCAAUUGUUACUGCAGUUACUAUUGAUAUAUUAACAAGAUAAUUCAUUUCACUAUCUGAGCAUUUAUCUAAUGCAUGCAAAUUGCGGAGUGAAGUGCUUAGAAUUAAAGCUCCAUAUCUUCGUUAUUGGAGAAAGAUAACUUUCCUUCCUAUCGAAAUAUUAUCUCAGAUCGUAAAGAUUGCAUAUAGAAUAAUAUAUACAUGGUGAAAUUGUAAUAAUCUAUGUGAAUAAAAUCAAAUGUUUGUUUCCUGUUAACGACGCGAGUUGUUUCAAAAAAAGAAAUGUGAUUGUGGUAUAGUAAAUAGACAAUUAUUUUAUUUUUAGCAUCGUAAAUUAUAUAAGAACAAAUAUAGCAAGUUAAACAGUCCUUCCGUUUAUAAGGUGGCUUACCUAUGAUAUUGAAUAAUGGAGUGCAGACGUACUGGCAGAAAUAGGUCGAUCUAAUCCCACCGAUCUCUUGCAAAGAUCCUUUCUAAUGUCCUCCCCCGCUGUUUGAAGUUACGCAACGAACGUCUUCGAAGAAGAAGCAGAAGAAGAA